GUAGGUGAACCUGCGGAAGGAUCAUUUCUGAUUUAGGUCCGUGAGAAAGGGGGGCAACUCUCUCCUUGCGUGACUUAAUAUGUGAUUGUGUGGUACAAGUGUGUGAACCUCUGGUCUUUCUUCACCGAAAGGCCAUGUUCCAACUUCUCUUUUGACUACAAAGCGAUAACUACUUUGAGGAUAUUCAAGUUUUCUUUUUCUUCUUGUCCUGCGGCAACGGUUGACAUAAAAGAGAAAAAAAAACAACAAA
rnacentral:misc_RNA from 1 species